rnacentral:rRNA from 1 species
GAUAACCUACCUAUAAGACUGGGAUAACUUCGGGAAACCGGAGCUAAUACCGGAUAAUAUUUUGAACCGCAUGGUUCAAAAGUGAAAGACGGUCUUGCUGUCACUUAUAGAUGGAUCCGCGCUGCAUUAGCUAGUUGGUAAGGUAACGGCUUACCAAGGCAACGAUGCAUAGCCGACCUGAGAGGGUGAUCGGCCACACUGGAACUGAGACACGGUCCAGACUCCUACGGGAGGCAGCAGUAGGGAAUCUUCCGCAAUGGGCGAAAGCCUGACGGAGCAACGCCGCGUGAGUGAUGAAGGUCUUCGGAUCGUAAAACUCUGUUAUUAGGGAAGAACAUAUGUGUAAGUAACUGUGCACAUCUUGACGGUACCUAAUCAGAAAGCCACGGCUAACUACGUGCCAGCAGCCGCGGUAAUACGUAGGUGGCAAGCGUUAUCCGGAAUUAUUGGGCGUAAAGCGCGCGUAGGCGGCCCUUUAAGUCUGAUGUGAAAGCCCACGGCUCAACCGUGGAGGGUCAUUGGAAACUGGAAAACUUGAGUGCAGAAGAGGAAAGUGGAAUUCCAUGUGUAGCGGUGAAAUGCGCAGAGAUAUGGAGGAACACCAGUGGCGAAGGCCCCUUUCUGGUCUGUAACUGACGCUGAUGUGCGAAAGCGUGGGGAUCAAACAGGAUUAGAUACCCUGGUAGUCCACGCCGUAAACGAUGAGUGCUAAGUGUUAGGGGGUUUCCGCCCCUUAGUGCUGCAGCUAACGCAUUAAGCACUCCGCCUGGGGAGUACGACCGCAAGGUUGAAACUCAAAGGAAUUGACGGGGACCCGCACAAGCGGUGGAGCAUGUGGUUUAAUUCGAAGCAACGCGAAGAACCUUACCAAAUCUUGACAUCCUUUGACAACUCUAGAGAUAGAGCCUUCCCCUUCGGGGGACAAAGUGACAGGUGGUGCAUGGUUGUCGUCAGCUCGUGUCGUGAGAUGUUGGGUUAAGUCCCGCAACGAGCGCAACCCUUAAGCUUAGUUGCCAUCAUUAAGUUGGGCACUCUAAGUUGACUGCCGGUGACAAACCGGAGGAAGGUGGGGAUGACGUCAAAUCAUCAUGCCCCUUAUGAUUUGGGCUACACACGUGCUACAAUGGACAAUACAAAGGGCAGCGAAACCGUGAGGUCAAGCAAAUCCCAUAAAGUUGUUCUCAGUUCGGAUUGUAGUCUGCAACUCGACUACAUGAAGCUGGAAUCGCUAGUAAUCGUAGAUCAGCAUGCUACGGUGAAUACGUUCCCGGGUCUUGUACACACCGCCCGUCACACCACGAGAGUUUGUA